UUCGCAAUGCCCGAAAGGGUGACGAAGCGACGCCGCGUGUGGGAAGAAGGCCUUCGGGUUGUAAACCACUGUCGGGAGUUAGGAAAUGUAAGGGUGCUAAUAGUAUCCUUACUUGACUAAGGCUCCGGAGGAAGCCACGGCUAACUCUGUGCCAGCAGCCGCGGUAAUACAGAGGCGGCAAGCGUUGUUCGGAAUUAUUGGGCGUAAAGAGCACGUAGGCGGCCUUGUAAGUCAGUUGUGAAAGCCUUCUGCUUAACGGAAGAACAGCAGCUGAUACUGCAAGGCUAGAGUGCGGAAGGGGAGAGUGGAACUUCUGGUGGAGCGGUGAAAUGCGUAGAUAUCAGAAGGAACGCCGGCGGCGAAAGCGGCUCUCUGGCCCAUAACUGACGCUGAGUGUGCGAAAGCUAGGGGAGCAAACGGGAUUAGAUACCCCGGUAGUCCUAGCCGUAAAC
rnacentral:rRNA from 1 species